CUCCCGGUAGCUCAAAUCGGCAGAGCGAGCGGUGCGCACCUGAAAACAGGAGAGCUUGGUUGUGGGUUCGAAUCCCACCCGGGGGAC
rnacentral:tRNA from 1 species